AUACGGAGGGGGCUAGCGUUGUUCGGAAUUACUGGGCGUAAAGCGUACGUAGGCGGACUGAUCAGUUGGGGGUGAAAUCCCAGGGCUUAACCCUGGAACUGCCUUCAAUACUGUCAGUCCUGAGUUUGGGAGAGGUGAGUGGAAUUCCUAGUGUAGAGGUGAAAUUCAUAGAUAUUAGGAGGAACACCAGUGGCGAAGGCGGCUCACUGGCCCAUUACUGACGCUGAGGUACGAAAGCGUGGGGAGCAAACAGGAUUAGAAACCCCAGAGUCC
rnacentral:rRNA from 1 species